CCUACGGGGGCAGCAGUGGGGAAUAUUGGACAAUGGGCGAAAGCCUGAUCCAGCCAUGCCGCGUGUGUGAAGAAGGCCUUCGGGUUGUAAAGCACUUUCAGUGGGGAAGAAAGCCUUGGGGCUAAUACCCUCGAGGAAGGACAUCACCCACAGAAGAAGCACCGGCUAACUCCGUGCCAGCAGCCGCGGUAAUACGGAGGGUGCGAGCGUUAAUCGGAAUUACUGGGCGUAAAGCGCGCGUAGGCGGUCUGAUAAGCCGGUUGUGAAAGCCCCGGGCUCAACCUGGGAACGGCAUCCGGAACUGUCAGGCUAGAGUGCAGGAGAGGAAGGUAGAAUUCCCGGUGUAGCGGUGAAAUGCGUAGAGAUCGGGAGGAAUACCAGUGGCGAAGGCGGUCUUCUGGACUGACACUGACGCUGAGGUGCGAAAGCGUGGGUAGCAAACAGGAUUAGAUACCCCAGUAGUC
rnacentral:rRNA from 1 species